rnacentral:rRNA from 1 species
AGUUUGAUCCUGGCUCAGGAUGAACGCUAGCGGCAGGCCUAAUACAUGCAAGUCGAGGGGCAGCGCGGUAGCAAUACUGGCGGCGACCGGCGCACGGGUGCGUAACACGUAUGCAACCUACCUUCAACUGGAGGAUAGCCCGGGGAAACUCGGAUUAAUACUCCAUAACACAGGGAUCCCGCAUGGGAAUAUUGUUAAAGCUACGGCGGUUGAAGAUGGGCAUGCGUUCGAUUAGCUAGUUGGUGUAGGUAACGGCUCACCAAGGCUACGAUCGAUAGGGGGUCUGAGAGGAUGAUCCCCCACACUGGUACUGAGAUACGGACCAGACUCCUACGGGAGGCAGCAGUAGGGAAUAUUGGUCAAUGGGCGCAAGCCUGAACCAGCCAUGCCGCGUGCAGGAAGAAGGCCCUCUGGGUUGUAAACUGCUUUUGAUAGGGAACAAAUGCCACUUGCGAGUGGAGCUGAGUGUACCUAUAGAAUAAGCACCGGCUAACUCCGUG